rnacentral:rRNA from 1 species
UACGGAGGGAGCUAGCGUUGUUCGGAAUUACUGGGCGUAAAGCGCACGUAGGCGGCUUUGCAAGUUAGAGGUGAAAGCCCGGGGCUCAACUCCGGAAUUGCCUUUAAAACUGCAUCGCUAGAGUUGUGGAGAGGUAAGUGGAAUUCCGAGUGUAGAGGUGAAAUUCGUAGAUAUUCGGAAGAACACCAGUGGCGAAGGCGACACGCUGGGCCGUACCUGACACUGAUGCGCGACAGCAUGGGGAGCAAACAGG